GGAUUAACCCUGGAAUUUCCAGGGAAGGAGGCAUUCAGGAUCUGGAAUUCCAAGGGGAGGAGUAAUUCUCACAUGGAAUUUCCAGAGGGAGGGGUAAAUUUCAUGGGAUGGAAAUUCCAUGGGAGGACAUAUGUUAGAGGGAAAUUUCCGGGAGUAAAUGUCCCAUGAUGGAAAUUCGAUAGGGAAAGGUAAUUUACACAUGGAAAUUCCAUGGACAGGGCCAAAUUUUAAAUGGAAAUUCCAUGGGGAAGGCCUAAUUUAAAAUGGAAAUUCCAUGGGCAAGGGUAAUUUUUACAAGGAAAUUCCAUGGGAAGGGGUAAAUUUUACAUGAAAAUUUGCAGAAAUUCCAGGGGAGUACCGACAUGAGAAAGGGGUUCCUCAACAGGGGGGUGUGGAUAAUAAUUGGAAUAGCCCAAUACAAGCAUGGGUUAUAUAGAUAUUAUCCUGAUCUGCAUGUUACACUGAACCAGAUUAACUUAAGGGGUCGAUUAUAUGGAGGCGAUGGAGCGAUUUCGGCCCGGUUUGAGUUUCAGCCCGGCUACCCGGGGCGAAAUUUCAGCACGAUACGAUUAACCCCAAUAAAAUCCAGCACGCUAUUACAUGGGAAGAGCAUCCUAAAAUGAGUAAAAUUGCAAAUUUUGGUUGCGAAAUGUAGUAAAACAAGGAAAAUAU